AUUGAACGCUGGCGGCAUGCCUUACACAUGCAAGUCGAACGGCAGCACGGGAGCAAUCCUGGUGGCGAGUGGCGAACGGGUGAGUAAUAUAUCGGAACGUGCCCAGUCGUGGGGAUAACGUAGCGAAAGCUACGCUAAUACCGCAUACGAUCUAUGGAUGAAAGCGGGGGAUCGCAAGACCUCGCGCGAUUGGAGCGGCCGAUAUCAGAUUAGGUAGUUGGUGAGGUAAAGGCUCACCAAGCCGACGAUCUGUAGCUGGUCUGAGAGGACGACCAGCCACACUGGGACUGAGACACGGCCCAGACUCCUACGGAGGCAGCAGUGGGGAAUUUUUGGACAAUGGGCGCAAGCCUGAUCCAGCAAUGCCGCGUGCAGGAUGAAGGCCUCGGUUGUAAGCUCUUUACUCGGUACGAUAAUGUACGGUACCGAGGAGAAUAA
rnacentral:rRNA from 1 species